rnacentral:rRNA from 1 species
AUUGAACGCCGGCGGCAGGCUUAACACAUGCAAGUCGAGCGGAGAUGAGGUGCUUGCACCUUAUCUUAGCGGCGGACGGGUGAGUAAUGCUUAGGAAUCUGCCUAUUAGUGGGGGACAACAUUCCGAAAGGAAUGCUAAUACCGCAUACGCCCUACGGGGGAAAGCAGGGGAUCUUCGGACCUUGCGCUAAUAGAUGAGCCUAAGUCGGAUUAGCUAGUUGGUGGGGUAUAGGCCUACCAAGGCGACGAUCUGUAGCGGGUCUGAGAGGAUGGUCCGCCCCACUGGGACGGGGACACGGCCCAGACUCCUACGGGAGGCAGCAGUGGGGAAUAUUGGACAAUGGGCGGAAGCCUGAUCCAGCCAUGCCGCGUGUGUGAAGAAGGCCUUUUGGUUGUAUAGCACUUGAAGCGAGGAGGAGGCUACCUGGAUUAAUACUCUAGGAUAGUGGACGUUACUCGCAGAAUAAGCACCGGCUAACUCUGUGCCAGCCGCCGCAGUAAAAC